rnacentral:lncRNA from 1 species
UUUCUUAAGGAGAACUGAACAUUUUCUUUGAAAGAGUCACAUACCUGUUCAUCUUUGUCCUGCUUUGCUAGUUCAGGAGCUCAUGCCUUAGGUGGUCAAAGCUUAGGUUAUAUCUAUAAUUUUUCUGUUUUUCACUGACAUGCUUUACACAAUAUUAUACAAAAUGUUAGGGCCCAGGCUUAAAACCUGAGAGAUAUCUAACUGGCCUUAUAUUCACUUUGCUUGGUAUUACAUUGGUCUUUUGUGUCACAAAUAUUAGUUUUAAAUAUUCACAGUUUGGAUUAAUUUUAAGUCCCUUUGAGUAAGGAUGUAUAUUUUUAGAUAUUUUAGUGUGAAUCAAACAGACACUGCAAUAUGUAAAUGAAGGUUUGAGAAAACACACAUGUCAUAAUUAUGACUAACACCUUUCUCAGUGAUAAUCUGUUUACAUGGAGAUAGAGCAUCAAUUAUAGCUCAUGAAUGAAUGAAAUAAAUAGCAAGUAUAGAGCAAUGAGAAUUUCCACUCGUUCAUAAUGGGCUGUUUUUCUGCUAAAGCUGCGUAUUUUUCUUUAUACCUUACCCAAAGCUUAUUUUACAAGCUCUUUAUGCAUAUUUUUUGACUAAGGAGGCUAACAAAGCUGGACCUUUAGUUCCCUAAGCUGGUUUUUGUACAUCUCAAAAUAAGACAUGACCAGGGUUUGAAGUAAUAGAUUAACCUUGUCGAUAGAACCAACCUGUAUACAUGGUUUGCUGUGGAGUAGCAGUUUGCAGAAUAGGCUCUGUUUUGGAGCUCAUCUUAAAACUUGUUUUUCUCU